rnacentral:rRNA from 1 species
UGUCAGGGUGAAAUUCUGGAUUUAAAGACUACCGCGAAAGCAUUGCAAGGAUGUUUUCAUUAAUCAAGAACGAAAGUAGGGGGAUCGAAGACGAUCAGAUACCGUCGUAGUCUCUCUAAACAGCCGACCAGGAUCGAGAUAAGCCCCGAGACUGGGGAU